rnacentral:rRNA from 1 species
AGAGUUUGAUCUUGGCUCAGGAUGAACGCUGGCGGCGUGCUUAACACAUGCAAGUCGAACGAGGCUGCGCGUUGGAAGUUUUCGGAUGGAAGAUGAGCAGACCGAGUGGCGGACGGGUGAGUAACGCGUGAGGAACCUGGUCUUUUGCAGGGGGAUAGCGUUUCGAAAGGGACGGUAAUACCGCAUAAGACCACAUUGCCGCAUGGCAGAGAGGUCAAAGGAGAAAUCCGGCAGAAGAUGGACUCGCGUCCCAUUAGGCAGUUGGCGGGGUAAAAGCCCACCAAACCGACGAUGGGUAGCCGACCUGAGAGGGUGAUCGGCCACAUUGGAACUGAGAGACGGUCCAAACUCC